UAUUUUUUUUAAACUAUCUAAAU
rnacentral:tRNA from 1 species